UGGACAGUGUGGGCGGCUGCAGGCCGCGCCGGCCCCCACCGGACCUGGGCUUUCCAAAAUAGGUGAAAACCUGAGACAAAGAAGUUGAAGGACGCUGGGCUGUAAUGUUGAAAACCCUUUCAGGUGUGCAGCAUCACCUUCCCUCUUCUGCAGGUGUUCAUGGAAAGAAGGUUCAGGCCGCAACUGUGGUGCUGUCCAACUGGGGAACCUUGGGCGAGCCGCCUGACUCACUUUACUCCCUGGGAGAAUGAGGAUUGUAACAGCCCUACCUUGUUCUCUGCACAGGCUGGAGAGGGUCACACAGCAGAAUCCCGGUCAUCCCUACUACCAUCAUCGUCAUUACCAUUAUCAUCAUCAUCAUGGCACUAGCCUGUGUUGGUCACUCCCUGCCGUCAAGCUGUGCCUCAUCUCAUCUUCACAGCUUCUCUGAGGUGGCUACUCUUGUCAUUUUCAUUUGACAGGUGAUAGAACAUCACAUAGCAGGAAGUUUCCUCCUGCCCGUUUUGUGGGAUAAUGAUGGACGUUGGAGCGGGGCCCAGCGCCAAGAAGGCCAGUUAGGCAAGAACACAGUAUCCAGGUGUCACAGCUCCUGAAUCGCAGAGUGAAUGAGACUUGUCCUCAGGAGGUCCUGGAAUGGUUUGCGAUGGAAAAAAUAUUCUCCAGUGAGGAUUAAAAAAAGAAAAGCGAUUUCCUUGGGAAGUAGCCAGAAAGUCAGCACGAGCCCUGUCAGAGUCAUGCUGCAUGGAAAGAACAUGGAUUUGGGGGUCAGAAGAUCUGUCUGCAUGGUGUAGGGCAAGUGACUUCACCUCUCUGAGUCUUGGUUUCCUCACCUCCCAGAGCGACUGUCAGAAUAUAUGCAAUCCGUAUAAUAAUAAAAUAAUGUAUUAAAGCCCUUCGUGCACACACAGGUGCUAAAAACAAAAACAAAGCGUGCUGUGUAUUACCCACGUGCCCCACCAGAUUGGCCCUCCCUCCUCCACCCAGGGAAGCACCUGGGCUUCUCUGCUCUCUGG